rnacentral:rRNA from 1 species
UAUGGCCACCCUGAACGCUCCUGAUCUUGUCUGAUCUCGGAAGCUAAGCAGAAUCAGGCCUGGUUAGUACUUGGAUGGGAGAAAAUGACUCUCUGUGGUGGGGAAUGGCCCCAAAC